UUUCCGUAGGUGAACCUGCGGAAGGAUCAUUGACGAAACCUGCCCAGCAGAACGACCCGCGAACUUGUAUGAACAACUGGGGGCGGGGGGGGCGUUCUCGCCCCGUGCCCCCGGACGGCGGGGAGACACUCGUGCCUUCUUGCCGAACAACGAACCCCGGCGCGGUCCGCGCCAACGAACUUCAACUAAAGAGUGACUCCGGUCGCCUCGGAAACGGCGUGCGUGCCGGAGGCGAAUCUUGUGCAAAACCAUAACGACUCUCGGCAACGGAUAUCUCGGCUCUC
rnacentral:misc_RNA from 1 species